rnacentral:lncRNA from 1 species
GUUCCCAGCGGCCCCAUGGCAGCUCACAGCCAUCCAUAACUCCCAUUCCAAAGAAUCUUCCUGAUCUCCACAGGCUCUCAUGCAGUGCACAUAUAUACUGCAAUCAAAACCCUAACACGCAUGAAAAUUAGAAUAAAAAAGAAGAUUCUGUCUCCAGAAUUAUUGGAUGCACCUUCCUCUUUGGGCACCAGCAACUUCAUGUCUCAGCAGGUUUUGCCUGCUGUGUUCCCUCUGCCUGGGCUAACUGACCACCUUCCUGACUAAUCAUGGCCAGCUCUUAAAGGCUCAGCUCAGGCUUUUGGCUCCCCUCAUCCAGUUUCCACCUGAACACUGUAUGCUCCCAGGUCCCUCUCGCUAAUCUUUCCACACCACAUAGCCAUCACUACCUUGCCUGUAAGAACAUAGAAGGUAAGACUCCCUACUCACCUUCAAUAAUGUCUGUAGGCAUGCCCUAAGUGGAACAGAGCAGAUAGGAAAGGAAGGCUUCCCAGAAUAUCCCUUUAGCACUGUUUAUCUAGUGCAGUGGUUCUCAACCUUCCUAACACUGCGACCCUUUAAUACAGUUUCUCAUGUUGUGGUGACCACCCCACACACACACACACACCAUAAAAUUACUUUCGUUGCUACUUCCUCACUGUAAUUUUGCUAUUGUUAUGAAUUGUAAUGUAAAUAUCUGUGUUUUCCGAUCGCCUUAGGUGGCCUCUGUGAAAGGGCCUUUUGACCAUCAAAGGGGCCAAGACUCACAGAUUGUGAGCCACUGAUCUAGUGGGCCCUAACAACCAUUUCGAUGUUCUUAGUUGCUAAAUCCUUGCCUUUACUCUCCAGAAGUCAACCCGUUUCUUCUGACUCCCACUUUGUCACCCACAUCCUUCCCGGGAAUCUUCUUGCCCACUCUAAUCUCUCCAGUCCCAGCUCUUACAACGCCGUUCCUCACAUCCCCCGAUGGUCCUCCACCACCUCUUUUGCUUUGGUUCUUGCUGCCUCUCCAGUGCCCAGGAGUGUGCAUUUGCUGACUGAAGAAACAACACUGCGGAUGGUGCCAGCAUCCUGAAAGGCUGGCCUGUGAUGUCAAAACAGCAAGCGGGCAUCAUCAAAGGCUGUGACCUGGUGUCAUCAGCCACCAGCUAUGAAACCCGAAGAACAUCCUUGGGAGAGAGAGGACACCUGCCCCUUUUCGCCACUAUGAAGAGAGUGAUUGUGUGGACUGACAGAGCCUGCAAUGUGAGCUCAUCAAGAAACAUGAAAGGCAACAAGGGUUUGGGGCCUUCAACAGUGCUGAUCUCU